rnacentral:rRNA from 1 species
GACGAACGCUGGCGGCGUGCUUAACACAUGCAAGUCGAACGGAAAGGCCCUGCUUUUGUGGGGUGCUCGAGUGGAGAACGGGUGAGUAACACGGGAGUAACCUGCCCUGGACUUUGGGAUAACUUCAGGAAACUGGGGCUAAUACCGGAUAUGAGCUCCUGCUGCAUGGUGGGGGUUGGAAAGUUUCGGCGGUUGGGGAUGGACUUGCGGUUUAUCAGCUUGUUGGUGGGGUAGUGGCUUACCAAGGCUUUGGCGGGUAGCCGGCCUGAGAGGGUGACCGGCCACAUUGGGACUGAGGUACGGCCCAGACUCCUACGGGAGGGAGCAGUGGGGAAUAUUGGACAAUGGGCGGAAGCCUGAAGCAGCAACGCCGCGUGCGGGAUGACGGCUUUCGGGUUGGAAACCGCUUUCGCCUGUGACGAAGCGUGAGGACCGGUAAUGGGUAAAGAAGCACCGCCUAAUUACGU